UACGUAGGGUGCAAGCGUUAAUCGGAAUUACUGGGCGUAAAGCGUGCGCAGGCGGUUAUGCAAGACAGAGGUGAAAUCCCCGGGCUCAACCUGGGAACUGCCUUUGUGACUGCAUAGCUAGAGUACGGUAGAGGGGGAUGGAAUUCCGCGUGUAGCAGUGAAAUGCGUAGAUAUGCGGGGGAACACCGAUGGCGAAGGCAAUCCCCUGGACCUGUACUGACGCUCAUGCACGAAAGCGUGGGGAGCAAACAGG
rnacentral:rRNA from 1 species